rnacentral:lncRNA from 10 species
ACGGUCUGUCCCCCGCCAGGUAAGGGAAGAGGAGAAACAGCACAGCCUCCUCUCCCCUAGCCGAGCGCUCAGGGUCACCACCUUCCCCUCUGCUCGCUCGUCGCGCCAUUCUUCCAAAACGCUUUCCGCGAAAGAUUCCACCAACAGUCACCCACAGGACAACCCAGGCCUCCUUUCAACAGCGGCUCCCGCUCCGCAGCCACCGCGCCCUCUCACCCCCGCGGUUCUGCCCGCCGCCUCUGUCCAGUCUGUGCACUUCACCUCCCUGGCUCCGGCUCCCCCCUGAGCUUACAGUGGACGCGGGGUUCCUCCGAACCCCUCUUGGGAAUACUGAAUGGAAAAGGGGAAACGUGCGCAAUUGCUUGGUAGAGUGUAGACAGACAUUGCGGGAUUUGACUGCGGUACCAUCGCUUUGACGACCUAGUGAUUUUCACACCUGCCUUCUGUUCACCGGCCACAGUUUUCCAUUUGUGCCUGCUCCACGUGCUGUCUUUGUUGGGUCAGCAAACAUCGCCUCCCUUUACCGCUCAGUCUACAAACGAGCGGUCCUGGAGGGCCUCACCCGCCGCUCACCCCACUUCCAACCUCGCGGGCAUCGCCUCCAGUCGCUUCUUCUGAAGGCCUAAGAAGCACGUUACCCGCGAACGGAGGUGAGGAGGCUCCACUGACCGUCCCCUGUCAGCUGAUAAUUUGUGGCACGCACAAACGCCACGACUUGCCUUGGCCUCUCUCUUAGUUAUUCGCAGCUCAGCCCGAUCGGCGCCUCCGGGACGGCAGAGGCGGCAAAGACGGUGGGCUUCUUGGGUGCAGUUCCAGGAGGGCUGGCAUCUCUGCACAGCGGUGUACACCUGAGCGAGACGCUCAGUCGCUCUCUAAAGCCGCUUGUGCGAAUGACAGACACGGAGAUAAAUAAGAGCGCUGUGUCAUGAGAGGUGGCCCACCAGGAGUUGCCCUCCUUCGCCAGGGUUUGCACCUCGCUGCGGAGACUGUUCUGCGUCUGGCCCUUGGAGAAGGCCCGCUUACAGCGGCGUAAAGGAAGAUUCCUGCGGGAAGGCAGUCAGUGCAAAACAAUUCCCUGACUGGUAAUCCAACCCGAGCUGCGGCGGUGAAAGCGCUAAAUUCUAGCCACCAGACCACCAGGGAGGCACAGGAGGGGCUUUUUCAACCUUCUUGCCACUGAAGCGACAGUUUCCCUGUAAGUGACAGUUUCCCUGUGCGCUGGGAAGACUUGGGACUUGUGGAGGUCGCUGGUCGCUCCUGGAGUCGUCUCACAAGGCCGUUCCCUCCCUCCUUUCUCCAAAAGAGGAGCACGCAGGCGACGCACCCAGCACUCCGCUAGGCUCACCAAGGACACAAGUCCCGGAGCCAGUUGCAGCGUCCGGGCAGAACCUGACCACCGACCUAGAGAUGCGCCUUUGUGAAGCGGCAGCGCAUGGAGAGACAGUAGCGGGUCACCGGGCCAGAGCCGCGCACUGGGUAACCAGGAGCAGGCAGGAGCGAGGAGGCUCCCAGGGUGAGAUCGGGGCACCCCGAAUAUCAUAAAAGACUCAGACCUUGGCAUCCCCGACAUCAUAAAGGACUCAGACAUAUGCGGAAACCAAGACGGGCUGGAUGGGAAACUCUUUCCACGAAGGCUCCGGGGCCCUGAACUGGUCUCCGAUCUCCCUGCUGGUCUCCCUGCAACCUGCAAUACCUGCCAUUUUCCCAUCUUAGGCUAUACUGCAACGCCACCCUUCCGUAUGCUCUGGGCAAAGCUCCAAGGGUUCCCGCUGACGUUUGAGUUUUUUCCUCAGGGCCAAGAUCGAACUGGUCACCAAUUCGUGAUUUCCCAUCGGCCAAGUGCGUGGGCAUUGAUCUACACGCGAGUUUCUCCACCUCCGCGGAAUGGGUAUUACGGGGUGGGGGAGGGGCCCUUCGGUGGAUUGUAAGGUGUUUAGCCGCAUCCCUCGCCUCCGCUGACUAGAUAGAUGACAGGGGGUUAACAUUCUCCCUCCCCGCUUCCCCCAGUCGUGGCCUAAUGUCCCAGCGGGGAUGGGGGAGGCGUGUGAGGACGAAGUUGCCCCUUGUCUAGAAUUCGUGCGCCUAGUCCUGCUCUCUGAGCUUGUGCAGAGGACUCUCCAGAUGAAGACUCAGGGGUCGAUCCAGCUCAAGACCCCCUCCCUCCCCGGCACAGUCGGACCUUAGGAUUUGAGGCUUUUAACAUCUCGACAUCAUGAGUUUCUACCUUUAGGUCUUUCCUUCUGUUCUGUCCUCCAAAUCGGCCUCUUCUGAGCCUGUUGACCAGGGCCAGCCAGGUAGAAGGCUGGGUUCGCUCACCGAGGAUCCUCUCGCCCCUCCUGGAGCAUCAGGCCUCUUUCGGUUUGGCCUGUAGAGAAGCCUUAGGGGCCACUUCGUUCGGCAUCGUAGGGGGCAGGUGGGAGGCGCGCGGGGAAGAGGAGGGUGUGACUGUGGUUCCCGACCCCCGGCGCCCAACCUCCACCCCGGUGCGCGCGCCCUUCCCGGCUCCUGCUGGUCCCACUCGCCCCGAGGUAGGUCUCCGGUCAGCCUAAGCUCCCAAGAAGCCCAGGCCCAAAAGGACAGGUAGGGAAAACAAGCUGCUCAUUUCGGUCCUGUCCGGAAGGGACUCCUUUCUGACCGGAAAGAAAGGCGGCGAGUCCUGUCCCGUUGGGUUAGCGGAAGAGAGAUCAAAGGGAAGAGAAGAAAAAUCCUGUGAGGUUUCAGGAUCUAAAGUUACCAUGAAGUCGACCUCACCUCCUCUGAAGGUCCUCCCGGUCCUCCAGUGGCUGGAGAAGUUGGUGGUACUCGAGCUUCCC